rnacentral:tRNA from 1 species
GGUGAUGUAGCUCAGUUGGUUAGAGCGACGCACUCAUAAUGCGUAGGUCCUCAGUUCAAGUCUGAGCAUCACCA